rnacentral:rRNA from 1 species
GACGAACGCUGGCGGCGUGCUUAACACAUGCAAGUCGAACGGAAAGGCCCUGCUUUUGUGGGGUGCUCGAGUGGCGAACGGGUGAGUAACACGUGAGUAACCUGCCCUUGACUUUGGGAUAACUUCAGGAAACUGGGGCUAAUACCGGAUAGGAGCUCCUGUUGCAUGGUGGGGGUUGGAACGUUUCGGCGGUUGGGGAUGGACUCGCGGCUGAUCAGCUUGUUGGUGGGGUAGUGGCUUACCAAGGCUUUGACGGGUAGCCGGCCUGAGAGGGUGACCGGCCACAUUGGGACUGAGAUACGGCCCAGACUCCUACGGGAGGCAGCAGUGGGGAAUAUUGCACAAUGGGCGGAAGCCUGAUGCAGCAACGCCGCGUGCGGGAUGACGGCCUUCGGGUUGUAAACCGCUUUCGCCUGUGACGAAGCGUGAGUGACGGUAAUGGGUAAAGAAGCACCGGCUAACUACGUG